rnacentral:tRNA from 1 species
GGGAAUGAUUAGGAGGCUGGUGCCCCUCGCGGUCUUCAACACCGUUGUCCCCGUGAAGAGCGGGGAGUUGGGUUCGAUUCCCAAGCGUUCCCGC